UACGUAGGGUGCUAGCGUUAAUCGGAAUUACUGGGCGUAAAGUGUGCGCAGGCGGCCGAGCAAGUCGAGUGUGAAAGCCCCGAGCUUAACUUGGGAACUGCGCUCGAAACUACUUGGCUAGAGUGUGGCAGAGGGAGGUGGAAUUCCACGUGUAGCGGUGAAAUGCGUAGAGAUGUGGAGGAACACCGAUGGCGAAGGCAGCCUCCUGGGCCAACACUGACGCUCAUGCACGAAAGCGUGGGGAGCAAACAGG
rnacentral:rRNA from 1 species